AAGGAGAAAAAGUGAUAAUUAGGGGGAGCAAGUUGGUAACAAGGGUACCAACACAAAAUGUUGAAUGUCAACAAUAUGUGAGGAAAAUGAAAGUGAACUUGAAGAUGGUUGGUGACAUGGACGCCAACGAGACUUGGAAAAAUUUCAAGGAACAAAAUCGGAAUCUUGAUUGGGAUCGUUGAUGACAAGUGCGUCAACAAAAGAAUAUUGAAUAACAAGAAUUUUCAAGAUUAAGGGGGAGUGUUGAAGAUUAAUCUAGAAAAUUCUAGGUGAGUGAUGUAAAUUCUAAGAAAAUAUCUAAUGUAUUCUAGAAAAGUCUUGUUAAAAUUCUAAGUUAGAUUAAGAUGGAAGAAUGAUGUGGAAAAGUCUAGAGAUAUCAAAUUGUAGAAAUAUCUAGAGAUGUUUGUAGGUAGAAGUAUCUAGCAUUAGAUUCUUAUAGAAAAUUCUAGAGUUAAGUAUGUAACUAGUAUAAAUAUGUAAUAGUUGUAUGAGAUGAAAGAUGAGCUCAAAUGAGAGUGAGCAAGAUGAGCUCAAAUGAGGGAGAGCCAAACAAAUGAGCUCCACACAAAAUAUUAGGAAAGGUAGAAACAAAGGGUUCUACCAAGGUUAAUGAGAGACAUGAGCUCUCACAAACACACUUGUAUCAUUAAUUAUCAAUGAAAAUGCAAUUUUUAUGAUACUAUUCGGGUUCAUCAAAACUUCCGUGUGCGCCACAUAUUCUAUCAUUUCUCUCUCUCUCUCCUCUGUUUCACCCCUCAACAACCGACCGCCGGUCGUGCGACGCUUGUCUCGCGCCGCCCUCAGUCACGUCUUCACCUCGCUGUCGUUCGCCGACCCCCUCGCAACUCGCCGGAGAUCCGCGCCAGCCAGCACGCACGUUCGUUCUCUCUCUCUCCUCCUCGCGCAGCUCGUUCUUGCUCUCUCCUUCGUCGCGACAGCAGCACUUGCACAGCAUCGCGCGCCACCACCUCGCCGCCUCACUGUCGCCGUUCGCCGGAGACGAUGUUCGCCGGAGCUCGCAGCUCCCUCAGCCCACUCGUGGUCUCCCUGCUCCUAGUAGCAGAGGUACCGAUGGUGACAAUGGGAUGGCGUAGCAGUGAGGAUUUAUUUAAUAUCUAGAUUAUAUAGACUCUCAUGGUUUUAAUUUAGGUUUAUGUCAAAACUCUAACCAGUAACUAAGUUUCUAUUAAUCAAGACUAAUGUUGGAUCUAUGUUAUGCUUCAUGUUAUAAAAUGUUUAAGUUUAUGUUUUUA